UGAUAUGCUGGCGAAAGGUGCCAAUGUAGAUGUUGCGCAUGUGCCUUACAGUCGCAUAAAAACAAAAAACAUAAUGGUGGCAAGUCGGAGGAAUACAUCCUGCAAUACAUCCUGCAAUACUUCCUGCAAUACUCUGCAACAGUGAAGAUUCGGAUAAAAAAAUGUGGAGAUUUUACAAGAGACCUCAUCGGUGUUACAUCAUUUCACGUUAGCAUUUUUAACUCCGGUUUGGGACAUUCACUAAAUUACGAUAUGUGAGUUUUGGAAGUGAUAUUAUUCCAACAUUUUGACUCCAGUUUGGGACAAUCACUCAAAUACAGUGUUUCAGAAGAAAGUGCAAAUUGAUAACGGUACCAUGCAAUCAUAUCACAAUGUUACUUUGAAAAUGUGAAACUAAUGUUUAAUGUUGCAAUGUUACAGCUAUGCUACAUUAUGUUUAAUGUUAUUUUUGGAUCCCUGUUGAUCCCUGGUACUUUUUGGCACACAGGUUUUAUACAAUCGCUGUGAUUUAAGUUCUUCAUUAUGUCCUGCUGCUUGCUUUUUGAC